UACGUAGGGUGCAAGCGUUAAUCGGAAUUACUGGGCGUAAAGCGUGCGCAGGCGGUUUUGUAAGUCUGUCGUGAAAUCCCCGGGCUUAACCUGGGAAUGGCAUUUGGGACUGCAAGGCUCGAGUGCGGCAGAGGAGACUGGAAUUCCUGGUGUAGCAGUGAAAUGCGUAGAUAUCAGGAGGAAUACCGAUGCGAAGGCAGGUCUCUGGGCUGACACUGACGCUCAUGCAC
rnacentral:rRNA from 1 species